rnacentral:rRNA from 1 species
GAUGAACGCUGGCGGCGUGCCUAAUACAUGCAAGUCGAGCGAACAGACGAGGAGCUUGCUCCUCUGACGUUAGCGGCGGACGGGUGAGUAACACGUGGAUAACCUACCUAUAAGACUGGGAUAACUUCGGGAAACCGGAGCUAAUACCGGAUAAUAUAUUGAACCGCAUGGUUCAAUAGUGAGAGACGGUUUUGCUGUCACUUAUAGAUGGAUCCGCGCCGCAUUAGCUAGUUGGUAAGGUAACGGCUUACCAAGGCAACGAUGCGUAGCCGACCUGAGAGGGUGAUCGGCCACACUGGAACUGAGACACGGUCCAGACUCCUACGGGAGGCAGCAGUAGGGAAUCUUCCGCAAUGGGCGAAAGCCUGACGGAGCAACGCCGCGUGAAUGAUGAAGGUCUUCGGAUCGUAAAACUCUGUUAUUAGGGAAGAACAAAUGUGUAAGUAACUAUGCACGUCUUGACGGUACCUAAUCAGAAAGCCACGGCUAACUACGUG